UAUAAGGAAGUGUACCUAAAGAAAAAAUCAGAGCACUUUGGUGGCACUAAGGACACAUGUUCUAGUUUUCAUAGGUAUUGCUAAGUUACUCUUCAAAGAGAUCGUAACAGUUUUUACACUUAAUGUUUGAACGUGUAUUUUUCCCACUGCCUCACCAACACCAUAUAAUGAAAACCUUAACAGUUUUUUGGCCACUUUUAAUAUAUGAAAUCUUAGAGUUUCCUGGUGGUUCACUGGGUUAAGGACCCAGCAUCGUCAUUGCUGAGGCUCAGGUCACUGCAGUGGCAUAGGUUUGAUCCCUGGCCUGGAAACUUGGCCUACACCACAGCCACAGCAAUGCAGGAUCAGAGCCGCAUUUGCGACCUACACCACAGCUCAUGGCAACACCAGAUCCUUAACCCACUGAGUGAGGCCAGGGAUCAAACCUGCAUCCUCAUGGAUCCUAGUCAGGUUCAUUAACUGAUGAGCUGUGAAGGGAACUCCUGCCUGGAAACUUCCAUACGCCAUUGUUUUGGCCAAAAAAAGGUAUCUGGUUUCUUCAUAGAUAUCCCAGGGCCAGCCAAGGUCCCACAUGGGCCAACCGUCUCCAGAUUGAUUUGGACAUUUCCCAAAUCACCUCUUCCAUCAGAACUUUCCACAAUGGCAAAGGUAUUCUGUAUCUGCACUGGCCAAUGGCCACUUGUGGCUAUUGAGCACUGAAAAUGAGGUUGCUGUAGGAGAUCCUGUUGUGGCUCGGCGGGUUAUGAAACCGACUACUACCCAUAAGAAUGUGGGUUCAAUCCCUGGCCUCCCUUAGUGGGUUAAGGAUCCCAUGUUGCCUGGGAGCGGCAGUAUAGGUAGCAGAUGAGACUCAGAUCCCAAGUUGGUGUGGCUGUAGUGUAGGCUGGCAGCUGCACCUCCAAUUCAACCCCUAGCCUGGGAACUUCCAUAUGCCACAGGUUCUUGCAGUAGAUGGAGAACCAGAGGAGGGCAACUGGGGGAAGAGUGAAAUCUCAGUCUCAAGGGCAUAUUCACCACUCAAUUCAACAGGAAAGAGGAACUCCAGGACUUUUGCUUUGAUAGCUAGUAUGAUGGCAGUUUUUCAGCUCCUGUUCUGAUAAAGUAAGUUGUAUCUGUUGCAAUUUCCAGGAAGACUAUACCGGAAAAAAAUCUCUGGACUGUCAUUUAUGAACUGGGAAAAAGAGCUUAGAGUCUUUAGAGUCAUCUUAGAAUAUAAGCAUUCUUUUGAAAGGGUAUAAACCAGCCAUUAACAUGCUGUUCUUUAGGCAAACACCGGGUCCCUGUUCUUGUGUUUGUUUUGAGGAUUUUCCAGAAAGAGAAAAACAGUCUGCUACUACUUAUAAUUUUCCUUGCUCUGAGUGAGUGAAGAUUAAAAUUAACUUAAAAAUAUAUUGCCAAGUAUUUUGGAAAGAACCAUAUAGAUCUACCUAGCUAUCACUGGGUUGAUUAGUAGUCAAAAUUCCCCAUUCCUCAUUGCUGCCUGUUUCCAGGCACUUCUGCGAUAUGAUUUUGCAGCUCUUCUUAUCAAGAGGUGAAGUCGACUUCUUGCUUACAAAUCUGGGCUGACCUUUCAAUUUACUUUGUUCAGUAAAAUGCAGUGAAAGUGAAGACAUGCCAGUUCUGAACCUAAGCUCAAAAGGUCUUGCAUCCUUCCAUUCUCCUUCAUAGGAUCUUCCACUGACAUGUGAAUAAGUCUGGACUAACUAGCCUGCUGGAAGAUGAUAGGGCAUAGCCACUGGAGAGAGGCCCUUGGUCAUUUUAUCUGUUCCAGGUGAGACCAACACAGACCAGCCAACUACACACCACCUGACUACAGAACAUCUGAGGGAACCCAGUCCAACCAAGCCCAGGCCAUAUCAGCCAAGUCCACUUCCACCUGUAAAAAUAAGAAAUGGUGGUUGUUUUAUGCAACUGGAUUUGGGAGGUGAUUUGUUACAAUAUUGCUGUGGCUAUACCAACAGUUGUCACAGUUGACAUUUUUAAUGUCAUUUAACAUUCCCGAUGGAAAAAAGUAGUUUUUGAAGUCAUAAUCAGAUUAAGCUCCUUGGAAUCAGAGUCUAUCAGAGAUGGAAGGAACAUUAGCAUCAGUCCUUGACUACAGGGAAAGUUUUACAGCUGAAGAAAUGGAAGCCUAGAGAAGGAAAGUAAGUGAUCUUGGAAUGGGGCAGCCAGUUAAGAGCUGCACAGGACACAGGUCUCCUGUCUCCAAGGUCUUUGCAAGUCCUCAGCCUGUUCUUUCAUGAAUACAUUCUGAGUUUUGCUUGUCUGCCAACCAGCAAGCUUUUGAAAACACAGCUUUAAAAAGGAGAUUACAUUCACAGAGACCAGUGCUUCCGACUCUACAAUCUGAUUCUUUGAUUUCUAAAGGCCCUCUCAAUUCUUUGUUGAAAGAAAUCCCAACUUUGACAUUUACCUUUUAUGAAAAGAUUAAUAAACAGCCUUCACCAUCAUCA
rnacentral:tRNA from 1 species